CGAGGUCCCGGGACGCCGCAUGUGAGCCAGGAGGGCAGCGCCGUCCCACACCGCCCGGCACCGCCCCUGCGCACCGGCACCGCACCGGAGCUCCAAAGCAGCCGGCACCACCCCCGCCCCGUUCGCCCCUUUACCCCGGCACCUCACCAUGAGCAACCUCAACAAGGACACCGAGCACACCAACGGCAGCGGCAACGUCGAAGAGGAGGUACGGACACUGUUUGUCAGUGGUCUUCCCGUGGAUAUCAAGCCCAGAGAGCUCUACCUACUCUUCCGACCAUUCAAGGGUUAUGAAGGGUCACUGAUCAAGCUAACUUCAAAGCAGCCAGUUGGUUUUGUGACCUUUGACAGCCGGGCUGGUGCUGAAGCAGCAAAGAACGCCUUGAAUGGCAUCCGCUUUGACCCAGAGAACCCCCAGACCUUGAGAUUAGAGUUUGCAAAAGCCAACACAAAGAUGGCCAAGAGCAAGCUGAUGGCCACGCCAAACCCUACCAACAUCCACCCUGCCUUGGGUGCACACUUCAUUGCACGGGACCCUUAUGACCUGACUGGAGCAGCUCUUAUUCCAGCGUCGCCAGAGGCGUGGGCUCCGUACCCGCUGUACACCACGGAGCUGACCCCCGCCAUCCCCCAUGCUGCCUUCACGUACCCAGCGGCCGCCGCCGCAGCUGCUGCUCUUCACGCUCAGUGAACUCCAGCCAUGAUGCCAGCGCAGGCUAGCCCUGAAGCUCAGAGCUGUCCCUGGAGAUGGGACAUCCUAGUGAUGCCUUAUUGCAGCUAGUGGAGUGGCUGUACUACAGCUUCAUUCCUAGGAGUGUUAAGCAUGAUGGCAGCCCCGUCUGGAAAGACUGAUGCGCUGGUACCCUCCCUCUGAAGCUACCCAGCAAGGAUGGAAGUCUCGUCAGUUUUGUUAGUUCGUUACGUCUCUCCUCGGCUCGUGUUCCUCCUCCCUGCCUCUCCGGAGCAAUGUGCCAGGGAUGAUCACUCAAACUCCUCUUGGUUUGGUUUGGUGACAAGGCACCCGGCCCCGGCGCGCUCCCCAGGGGCUGCCAGCAUCCCCCAUCCCUGGACUGUGAAGCCACCAUGGGCUAUGCGCCGCCUCCAUCCCUCCCUCCCUUCCUCCCCAGGACAUCCUCCCUGGCUGAGCUUCGCAGUGUGGCUGUGCCGAAGCCCAGCCCGGGGGUCUCUGUCCUGGGCUUCCCCGGGCUCGCCCUGUCCCAGUGGCUCAGCUGAAGGGAACGAAAGGCAAUGGGUUUUGCAUGUUUUCUGGCAUGAAUUAAAACACUUAACUUGUGUA